rnacentral:tRNA from 1 species
GGGCGUAUAGCUCAGUGGUUAGAGCACCACUCUUAUAAAGUGGGGGUCGAUGGUUCAAAUCCAUCUACGCCCACCA